rnacentral:tRNA from 1 species
GCCUGGGUGGCUCAGUCGGUUGAGCGUCCGACUUCGACUCAGGUCAUGAUCUCACAGCUCGUGAGUUCGAGCCCCACGUCGGGCU